AGAUCAUCUGUCACCCGAUGUCUCUGGGAACAGGACACUGGUAACCCCCGUGGGGUUGGGACAUCGGUUCGGAGUGGUGUUGAAACUGGAUCGACCGUGGACUCCACAGAUCUUCGUCUUUCCAGGACCCAGGUUGGAGGGACAGCCUCUCUCUAAGGAGAUGCCACUCUUAUGACAGAGAAUAAAGUGCAAUGGGAGAGCUACAAGAUCACUCUCAAAGCUCCGCUUGGAUGGGACACAUGUCACUUCUCACAUUUUAGUGGCCCCGUCAAGUUAUGAGGGUGGUGUGUAAUCCUUCCACAAGAAAGGGCUGCGAAUCAUAGGGACCAAAAUCCAAUCUAUCAUAAAUAGCAUAGGGAAAGAGUGCUAUGGGAACGAAGAGGUGGCAAGCUCAUGGGGGGAGGGGGUCAAAUGGAGCCACUGAAGGGGCCUUGAAGGAUGGUUAGGAUUUAGACAGAUGGAGUAGGUGCUAGGUCCUUUAGAUGAGGCAGCAAAGUGUCCAAAACAUAUUCAGGUGACAAGAAAUAGACAAAUCAGAAAGAAUAGGGUUGGAGGAGACAGGCUGUCUUAGAGAAAGAUUGAGCUCCCUGUGUCAAUAUACAUGGAUACGUGAUACUAGUUGCUAAUAUUUAUUGAACUUUGUAUUUAAUUCUGCCAUGAGAUUUUCUCCCCAUUGGUACCUGGGCUGAGAAGCUGGAAGAGCAGAGCCAUCUUCUAGCAAGAUCAGUCUCGUCAGAAUGCCACCACCACAGCCGCAGUACCUGCCAUGAGGGGAUCCCAGCCCUCCCUUUGUGUCGGUUAUACUCACUCAAGAGUCCAAAUUGUAGGAUGGGCUUCUGGUUGCCAGACUCUGGCCCGGUGCCUGGGCCCAGGCUGCCAGGGAUAGAGAGAGAAAGAGGAGCUCUCUGCUUUGUCAUCUGUAGUCACAGACCAGGUCGUGUGACACUCCUGCUCCCAAACAGAAGGAGGGUUGAACAUCGCACAGUAGAAAUGACAAAUGUCCACUACCUUCUGUAACCCCAUGGAAGGGGACAAUUCGGUUAUAACAUUUGUAGUGACAGAAGCAAGGACUAGGAUUAGAAUUAAUGUAGAGGAGGGGAAUUAGUUAUUUCUCAGAGACUUGGGGGGAUGGUAUAAUGGUAGGCCUCAUGGUGGAAUAGCCCCUUAAAUAAAGUUUUGAAGGAUAAAUGGGUAAGAAUCAUCAAGGCAGACGAUAACAGGUCCAGACACAAGUGAGCGUGUAUGGAGGUACAGAUGUGUGAAACAGCACUGAGGGACAUUCAUUGGGAACACAACAAGGACAUGGGUCCAACAUGGCAGCUGCUCUCAGCGAGCACAGCUGAUUGGACUGAGAGAUGGAGAGGCACUGAACAGCGUCAAGUAGAGGUGAGUCACGCUUGCAUUUUCGAAGCUCACUCUGAUCCCUGAUGGAGGGCAGAUGGCAGGAACUGGUGUGGGUCAGGGUUAAGCCUGGUAGGCCACGGGAGAUCAAGUUUCUCAUUCUGGCCCUUUCACCAAUUUACUGUAUGAUUUGGCCUCUAGCUUAUGCUUUCCGGUUUAGGCCUCACUAUUCUCAUCUUUAAGAUGCUUUGGAUGGAUAAGAUCAUCUUAAUGUAGUCCAUUCUACCUUUGAAGUUCUAGGACUUAGUCGCCCCAAAGGAAGAUCGGAGUACAAGUAUAAAAGGCUUUCAAUUCCGGGGUAGCAGCCCUGUCCUGGGAAUUGUUGAUGCAGCAGUAAACAAAACACCAUCCUGCUUUCAAUGAUGUCAGAAUAUAAUGCCAAAGUA